GCUAUUUCACUGGGCGCAGGCUGGCAGAGAGAGAAUGCACGGAGGCUUUGGAGAAGAAAUCGAAGCAUUACUCAAUUAAGACAGUCAGUGCCUUGGUACUGGAGAUCUGGCCCUCCCGGCCCUAUAAACCCGAACAGAGGGAGUACUGAUUAAGAAAUAAGCUUAUGUAAUGUCAGUAUGCACAUAACAUAUAUAAAUGUUCCAUCCUUGGUAAACACUUCUUAGAAUCACAUGGGACCUUUGUUGGAACUAAUCUUGUCAUGUACCAAAGAGAUGCAUACAUGAGAAGGAAGAAGUCAAAUUGAGUUGGAUGUCGAGGGACAUCAUGAAACCUUAGCCAAGAAGAAUAUGAUGUCAUAGCCAUAUGUUAUCACUCAAUAGUUGUCAUUUACUUGCGUGGGUUGUGCAGUAGAUGAACUAGCUAUGAGCUGUACCACUGUAGCCAUGUCAGUCACUGUAUCACUGUCCCUACAGCCUCUAUUAAGGAGAGGCACCCCAUAUGUAAUAGGUAAGCUUGUAGCAAUUGAGAUAUCUAAUGAAGCUUCCUGCUAGUAGUAGCUCUUUGUGUGUGUAAAGCACAUCUCUUUAGAGAAGAGUCCUGGGUGAGAGCUAGAGAAGCUACUGAUUCUAACAACUGGUAUCAUAGGCCAUAGCUAGAGCUAGCAGUUCUAACAAACUUUUGUUUAGCUGUGUGCACCUCAGGUCUUCAUUAUUUGUUUCGGGUAACAGGUUGUAUGGAAGAAACCAAGGCAUUGUUUGCUUGUUUGUAAGAAAUGAAUGUGGUGGCAAUGCAAUAAGGUGUGCUGACAUUAUAACUACAAGUAUAGUGAUUGUCAAUAUUUUGUUUUUCCACUCUCAAGUUGCAACCCAUUAGACAAUUAUGUAUAUGACAUAUCAGCACAUAUUUGGUUAAACAUGUUUUUUGAGGCUAGUUUCUAUCAAUAACACAGAAAUAAUAAAUAAGACGAGUAGUCUUUGCAACCAUGGCUGUUUCUCCCAGUGAUAUCAAUUGCACAGGAAUGAUAAAUAAUGAAUCUUCUUCUAAAAAACACUAAGAACUCAACAUGAAUAUGAACAAAUAGCAUUACCAUCGGCUGAUUGAUCUGACCCACAUGCCAAGCAAAAGAGAUUGACACGAGGAGAAAGGUGUUAGCCUUGUUGAAAUCUACAUACCCCAGGAUUGGCAUCCUUUCUGUACGAGCAGAGACAGGACAAGCGCUCAUGCAAAGAACCAAUCAAUAGCCGCAUGCACUGAGCCAAGUGUGCAUCUUAUUUUGUUCCACAUUACCUAAGAAUACGUACACCGGUGCUUCACCCUUCAGGACAUUUUGGCUAUGUGAUAGGACAAAUCUCGCAACAGAUCAGUCAAAGAAAAGUCCGUGACAACAGGACAUUGUGACAUUCAAAUAAUAAGUGUUCAUCUAGAAGCAUGUGAAUCGCUAAGGAUGGUUAAUAGCCUAAGGCAGGUUGUGGCCUAUGUUGGUUAACAAAAAAGGCAGCAGACUAAUAUUAGUUGUCUGGAACCAAUUGGAAGGCAAAUUGAAGUCAGGGGUACAAAACAAAUGUUCAAGUUUACAAGGAGAAGUGUUCAUCUAGAAGCAUGUGAAUCACUAAGGAUGGUUAAUAACCCAAGGCAGGUUGUGGCCUAUGUUGGUUAAAAAAAAAGGCAGCAGACUAAUAUUAGUUGUCUGAAACCAAUUGGAAGGUGCUCCCUCCGUCCCAUAAUAUAAGAACGUAUUUUUCAAGCUGUUUUAGCUUCAAAAACGUUCUUAUAUUAUGAGGGAGUAUCUUUUAGUCAGGGAUACAAACCAAAUGUUCAAGUUUACAAGGAGAAGUGUUCAUCUAGAAGCAUGUGAAUCGCUAGGAUGGUUAAUAGCCUAAGACAGGUUGUGGCCUAUGUUGGUUAACAAAAAAGGCAGCAGACUAAUAUUAGUUGUCUGGAACCAAUUGGAGGGCAAAUUGAAGUCAGGGGUACAAAACAAAUGUUCAAGUUUACAAGGAGAGGUGCCAGCAAUGUUGACGGCAUAACUGAGCCAUCAGGAUCCUAAUACUGGCCUUCCUUCCAGAUGACUAUAUAAUACUCCCCCCGUUCCUAAAUUUCACUAAAGACUACGUACGGAACAAAAUAAAUGAAUCUACACUCUAAUAUAUGUCUAUAUACAUCCGUAUGUAGUUCGUAGUGGAAUCUCUUAAAAGACUUAUAUUUAGGAACGGAAGGAGUAGAUUAAUAGCUGACAAGUUACGGGAAAACUUUUAUGAAACCAGAGUUCCUAAAGACGUGCUAAAUGGAUGGUCAGAAAUCGCCCUAGCUCACCUGGCAAUCAGUCAUCUUGUCCACACACAAAUUCGGGCAAAAUCCAAAUAUUCUCAAUCUACUAGCCUAUCAAAUUGUUACUGAAACCCAAUUUUCUACUCCCUCCGUCCCAAAACAAGUGACUCGACUCCUCCUUCCCAAAACAAGUGACUCUCACUCCUCCGUCCCAAAACAAGUGACUCGACUUUGGGCCUGUUUGGUUCAUGACUAACUUUACCACAACUAACCUUAGGCAAUGUGUGGCUGCCAUGAAAAGUGUGGCUAACAAAAUGAACACCACAAGUGUGGCAAGAUUUGGCAAAAAAUUUAGUGUAUGACAUGUGGACCAUAUAACUAGAAAAGUGUGGCAAGCCACAAGUGUGGCAAUGAACCAAACACAUGCCUAAGGUAUUGUGGCAUGACUAAGGUUAGGCGUGGCAACCUUAGGCUGGGAACCAAACAACCCCUUUGUACACAAAGUUGAGGGGAGUCCCUUAUUUAGGGACGGAGGGAGUAGAAAAUACAGCGCAUUUCCGCUCUGAAUUGAACAAAUUAAAUUGUGUAGACUAUCUUCCCUCGAUUCCAAAUCACCCGCUGAGACUACACACAAAUUGAAAAGGGUAAUAGG
rnacentral:lncRNA from 1 species